rnacentral:rRNA from 1 species
UACCAGCACCCCGAGUGGUCGGGACGUUUUAUUGGGCCUAAAGCAUCCGUAGCCGGUUCUACGAGUCUUCCGUUAAAUCCACCUGCUUAACAGAUGGGCUGCGGAAGAUACUAUAGAGCUAGGAGGCGGGAGAGGCAAGCGGUACUCGAUGGGUAGGGGUAAAAUCCGUUGAUCCAUUGAAGACCACCAGUGGCGAAGGCGGCUUGCCAGAACGCGCUCGACGGUGAGGGAUGAAAGCUGGGGGAGCAAACCGG